rnacentral:lncRNA from 1 species
AAAUUGUUUAAUGAUAUAGACGUCGAUCAUAUUAAAAUGCUGUUAACAAGACACUUUGAAAGGUUGUGCUAAGGAUUAGACUAUUCAUUUACAGGUAGAAUAUAUUUUUAUCUAAACUUUACCUGUCAAAAUCAAAAAAUACUGAUGCUUUUACAAUUUAAAUCAGAUCAUAAUGACAAAGUAGUUGUAUCUUCAUCGGUUUCUUACAUAACACAUUACAUAACUGUGUUUAAUUUGUUAAAACCUUUAAAAGUAUGCACGCUUAAACUCAAAAUAAAUUUUCUAUAGCAGAUACAACAAUUGUAUCAUCCGAUUGGAAUGUUGUUACCUAAAUAGAAAACCAAAAAAACCGAAAUUUAUGUAUAUCGGUUAUUUAUUAAUUAUAUUCUGUCUUUAAACGCGGUUAGUAAUUUAAAAUUGAUCAUAUUUUAUUCUGUCUAAGCGCAUUUCCUAGUCAUUAAACAGUUCGGAGUAAUUUUGACAAAUACAACAGGUAUAAAGAAGAAAAAUGAAACAAGCAUCUAAGUUUAUAAAAACUACAUUAAGAGUUUAUUCAAUAAAACUUGAUAAAAUGAUUUAACCGAUUCAAAUAUUUGUUACAAGUAAGGUUCUUUAAUAAAACAAGACAAAAGUUUUAUAAGGUCAAUUAAUGACUCGAAAAUUUUGACAAUACAAUAUUAUCACUGAAAACGUUUUUGACGCAUAUGGAGAUUCUUUUAAAGAGGCAUUAAAAAACAAUGCAAUAUAUUAAAUAUGAAUCGUUAUAUACAAUGGGAAUAUAUUCUCUUGAUGGUUGAUAUACAUAUAAUCAUUUAUUUCAAAAUAAAUAAAUACGAAACAAUUAAAGUAAAGUACAAAUAUCUGAUUAUUUAGAAAAAUGCUAUGUUAAUUGGAGUGGUUUAAUGACUUAAAUAGCAUAACGAAUCCACUCUCGUCAGUGUUAUGGGCUUUUAAAACAACUUGAGAAAAACAUUGCAUAAAUUCAUAUGUUAAUACAUUGUUUGUAUGUUUAGGAAGCUGAAAUUCACAAUGCUUAAUUUUUUCAUUGUCCAAUAUAUGCAGUGUACAUGAGGCAUUUGCUGUCAUGUCAUCCUUUAUCAAUGUUAUGAUUUAACUUUAUUUCAAUUGAUUGGCAGUAAAGACAUUAAAUAACAUAUUAUCAAUUUGAAAUCGAAAUACCAACUAAAGACAUGUUCUUAAUUUCAUGUUUUUGCAUUUAUUGUAAAAAAACUUCAAUUUUAAUUCUAUCGUUACUGACUGAUUAUUGUUUUACAUGACACGUGCGUUUGUCCUACACAAUUGUAGGCUUGGGAUCUAUGAUGAGUUUAUUGUAUAUACAUUUGAGUAAUUAGGUUCUAAUCUAUAUUUUUUCUGUAUCGUUUUUUUUCUAGGUACAAUAUUACAAUUUGUAACUUUUGUUUAUUCAUGCAAUAUAUGCAUCAUUCCAUUACUUCACUCCUGUGCAUAGGUAGAUAAAAUGAUUUUUCUUUUUCUACAUGUGAAAUAAAAUAUGUGCGCUAGCAUGAAAGAAAUUAUAUUCUGAUCAAUAAAAAUUCGCAACCCCUUACAAAUAAAAAUAGUUCUUUAUUUUUUAAUAAAGUGGUUUAAGUCAUAUUUUUUUUUUUAUCUAAAUACUCUGGAAAUUGCUAACUUUUAUCAAAAUGAUUUACAAUAAUUAUCAAUUCAAAUGCUUGAUUAAAAAAGCUACAUUUUAUAGUAGCAAAUUGUAAAUACCAAUUGUUACAAGGCCAGUGGAAGUUUUCUAAAAUAAAGAACAACCUUCCUUAUUUAAGAUUGAAAAUUUUCAGAGCUGAAGACGUUUUUAAAUAGAUUAUUGAUAUCUGGCAAAAUUAGUAAAAUAAUAAUAAUGGAAAACUAAAUCAUGUUUCUUUCUUAAUAAUGGUCGAUUAACUGUUUUCAAUUUCAUGAUGUCUUAAUUUUCAAUUGUUUUAGGAAAUUGCUGUUGGCCAUAUCCUUCUUACUUAAACAAACAAACAAAACCACUAUACAUUUAUGAAAGAAAACGAAAAUUUAACAUAAUUAUUAUCAAUAUAAGAUAUUUAUACAUUAAGCAUUAAAUUAAUGGGAAAUCUCUUGGAAAUGGUUUUAGAAAGGAUAUAUAAUUGAUAUUUAUCUGUAUUUACAGAAAAAUAUUCAUUAUUUUCAUAUUUUUGCAACAUUUUAUUUUAAGUAAUCCUCGUUGUUUCGACUGGUUGUAAACAGUUUUACAUUGAUUUGUUGUCUCUUGAUUAAUUUACGAGAAGUGAUCAUCGGUUAACUAAUGACAGCUAUAUUUAUGUACAGCAGUCUUCUUUGUUCUGAAUUAAUCGCAAACUGUAUUGUUUUUUAUAGGCAGAAUCUUAAAUAAUUUGCCUUGUUUGUUUUGACCACUAGCAAACAAUUUUUCGAGUUAUGUGGAGUUUCGGAAAGAGGGACGAAAGGGACAGUCAAACUCAUUACUAAAAAAUAAACUGACAAUGCCAUGUCUAAAUAAGAAAAAGACAAACUGACAAAUAAUAGUACACAAGACACAACAUAGAAAACUAAAGACUUAGCAUAAGAAUAUACGUCCUUUUUUUAUCUGAAUGCUGUAAACUAUAUUUCAAAAAGACGGACAAAAGACUCCAGAGGGACAGUCAAACUCACAGAUUGAAAAUAAACUAACAACGCCAUGGCGGACAAACAGACAAACAAUAGCGAAGACAACAUAACAUAGAACUGCAACAGUGUAGAUUCAGUGGCCUUCUCUGUUUUGACUAAUUGUAAAGUCCUGGCAAGUUAUCUCCAGACUUUUAUAUAGAAUUGUUAGUCUUUGUAUGUGGUAUCCAUUGUGUUGAUUCUAUCAAGAACUUGGAAAGUUAUAUCCCUGGUGCAUAUAUGUAACACGACAUUACACAAAUAGAAUACUGAUAUCUUUGGAAUAUAGUUUUCGUAUUGACAAUAGUUCCAUGUCUUCUUAUUUCAUUAUCUAUUAUACUCCUUAUCAAUAUGAUGUUUUAAUGAUAUUUUUAAUUAACGGAAAAAGGACUUUUUUUAGUUUCCAGAUAUUUUUCUCUCUAAACUUAGCAGCAGAUGUAAUAUGAAAUGUUCAAACACACAUGAAAUCGACACUUUUAAAUCUAACUAAUAAGAAUAAUAAUAAUAACAAUAAAGUAAUAAUAAUCAUAAUAAAAUUAAUAAAAAAAACCACAUUCAAAAAUAAAAAACAACUACAUCUAUUUUUUUUAUUGGUUAGGUAUUUAAGUAUUGGUAAUUUUGUAUUUGAUAAUAAAUGGUAUUUUACUAUCUUUUUGCUUCAGAUAUCAUCAUUUUCAUUGAUUCAUAUUUUAGGUUUUUUUUGUCAUUUUUUCCAAUAGAAUAGUAGGGAAUUUAAAAAUACACUGUUGUCACUUUGAAAUUCAAAAAAAAAAAUACUUAAAAUAUUAAUUAAAAUGUUGUCUCAAAAUAAGUGCAGAAAUAGUAACGAACAAUUUAUUACAGAAUUCAUUCUUUCCAAAGAGAACCAAAUCAACAUAAUGAUAAAAUUACUUCAAAGCACAAAAUAAGCGAAAGAUAACAAAAGAGACAUACAUAUCGAAUUGCAAACGCGAUAAAAUUAAUAAGAGAGGUACACAACAAACUGAAAAUAAUCUAAAAUAGGGUAUAGUUGAAACAAUCACUUGUCCACAUUUUUAACACUAUAUUAUUAUCAUAGUUAGCUCUAUUUUAUAUUUAGUGAUAUUUUGGUCAUUGAUUAGGGUCAGUAAUUUAAGAAGUUUCUUAGAAAUAAUACUUGUUAGACGAUAAAUCACAAAGUUGUAGGCGUAACAUCCAUCGAGACACACUACUUGUUAAAUUUGGGAAACCCGUCUAUGAAUAAGUCAAUAGAUUAUCCAGUACAAGGUUAAUUUACCAUAUACUAUCUAUUUUAACACUGGAAAAUCCCAAUUUAUUUUUGUCUUGCUUACAUAGCAAAUUUAAAGUGAUUGCGUUGCAAUUUAUUCAAGCGAUCAUUGUUUCUUUUAAAUAAUAUUCAAGUGAUGAAACCUUUGAAGGUAACUUACAUGCUUUGUCAAAAUAGACACACUAAGAAUGUAGUGAAUAAAUACCUCUUGGAUAUUUACGUACAUAAUAUGUUUUAUGAACUUAAUGUAGAUAUUACAUAUAUUCAACAAGUACACGUUGUAAAAAAUAAAGUUUAAUAAGAGUUAAUGGUAACAAAUUUAGUUGAAAAUUUAGGAUUUCAGAGUCCACUAGCGUUUGCAUUCGGUCAAUUAGGCAAUUCAUAGCCAAUCAUUCAACUCAACCAGCAGUAUUUUAGCCAUCGUAAGAUAGUACAACUACAUAGUGAAACUUUUAAAAAACCAACUCUUUCAUAAUAUGUAUUCUACUGUUGUUAAAAUUUUAAGUCGAUGGUUCUGCUUUAAACUUAAAUCUGUUUAAAUUCAAUGAUGAUUUGUUUUGUCUGUCUGCAGCUUUGAACUUUAAACAAGUGGAUUAACAUUCUUUGGGGUAUUUAUGGACUUUCAAUGUUAAGGAUAUAUCUUAAAUACUUUAAAUAAAGUUUUAUUUUUCCCCUCGCAAGUUUACAUUAGCUAAUGAUAUCGUGAACGUUCUUUGAACAGUCCUUUUUUAUCGAUUAGUUAGUAGAUAUAUAUAGGAAGAUGUGGUGUGAGUGCCAAUGAGACAACUCUCCAUCCAAAUAUCAAUUUAACAAAAAAGUAAACUAUUAUAGGUCAAUGUACGGCCUUCAACACAGAGCCUUGGCUUACACCGAACAACAAGCCAUGAAGGGUCCCAAAAUUACUAGUGUAAAACCAUUCAAAUGGGAAAACCAACGGUCUAAUCUAUAUAAAAUAAAAAAACGAGAAACGAGAAACACGUAUAAAUUACAUAAACAAACGACAACUACUUUCUAUAUCGAUUAGACCUUUAUUUUUUACGUUUCAAUGGUUUUACACUAGUAACUUGUUAAGAGUACUUUAUAGCUUGCUGUUCGGUGUGAGCCAAUGUUCCGUGUUGAAAACCAUACUUGAACUAUCAUGGUUUACUUUUAUAAUUUGUGACUUGGAUGGAGAGAUGUCUCAUUGGCACUCAUGCCACAUCUUCCUUUAUCUAUUUUAUAUAUAGAAAACCCGCUUAUAUUUAAACGGAAAGUUCGUUAUGAAAUGUCAAAAUCAAAAGCUCACACUAAUCAAAGGAAUAGAAAAAUAACUGUCAUAUUCCUGACUUGAUAGAGGCAUUAUCUUAUUUAGAAAAUGGUGGAUUUAAUCUGAUUUUAAAGCUUACUAUAUCUCUCACUUGUGUGACAUUCACAUAAAAUUCUUUAAUUGACAACGAUGUUUUAACAAAUCAAGCAGACAUAAUAGAUAUAAUUAUCAAACAAGUACAGGUGUUAACUUGCCAUCCAACAAUGCCAAAAUGACGUAAUGUAUAAGUACCGAGCCAUAUCAAAUGAAUUUUACCAAAAAUAGACUAAACUGUAAAAGUUGUAAUCAUAAAGAUAAAUAAUAAAUAUUAUAACACGUUAUGAAGAUGAUAAAUUAACGUCAGUAUGUAUGAUCUAUACUUCACGACCUUCAUCUAUUAUUCGUUACAGCCCUUGGAUGGUGUAAACUUCCGAAUCAACGUCUAUGGUGAAAUGGUGUAUGGCAUAUAUGGCAAUGGUAGAAGGUGUAAGAAGAAUGGUGUAAUGGUGUAUGAGGAAUGGUUUGAUUGUGUAACGUGUAUAUAAAGUGUGGUUAUCAAAGUUUAAAACUAUGCAACAUAUUGAUAAAAACUGAUCUUUAAUUUUAUACGUUAACUUACAAUAUUGUGA